rnacentral:rRNA from 1 species
GAUGAACGCUGGCGGCGUGCUUAACACAUGCAAGUCGAACGGUGAAGCAGAGCUUGCUCUGUGGAUCAGUGGCGAACGGGUGAGUAACACGUGAGCAACCUGCCCCUGACUCUGGGAUAAGCGCUGGAAACGGCGUCUAAUACUGGAUAUGAGCUGCGAUCGCAUGUUCAGCAGUUGGAAAGAUUUUUCGGUCUGGGAUGGGCUCACGGCCUAUCAGCUUGUUGGUGAGGUAAUGGCUCACCAAGGCGUCGACGGGUAGCCGGCCUGAGAGGGUGACCGGCCACACUGGGACUGAGACACGGCCCAGACUCCUACGGGAGGCAGCAGUGGGGAAUAUUGCACAAUGGGCGAAAGCCUGAUGCAGCAACGCCGCGUGAGGGAUGACGGCCUUCGGGUUGUAAACCUCUUUUAGCAGGGAAGAAGCGAAAGUGACGGUACCUGCAGAAAAAGCGCCGGCUAACUACGUGCCAGCAGCCGCGGUAAUACGUAGGGCGCAAGCGUUAUCCGGAAUUAUUGGGCGUAAAGAGCUCGUAGGCGGUUUGUCGCGUCUGCUGUGAAAUCCCGAGGCUCAACCUCGGGUCUGCAGUGGGUACGGGCAGACUAGAGUGCGGUAGGGGAGAUUGGAAUUCCUGGUGUAGCGGUGGAAUGCGCAGAUAUCAGGAGGAACACCGAUGGCGAAGGCAGAUCUCUGGGCCGUUACUGACGCUGAGGAGCGAAAGGGUGGGGAGCAAACAGGCUUAGAUACCCUGGUAGUCCACCCCGUAAACGUUGGGAACUAGUUGUGGGGUCCAUUCCACGGAUUCCGUGACGCAGCUAACGCAUUAAGUUCCCCGCCUGGGGAGUACGGCCGCAAGGCUAAAACUCAAAGGAAUUGACGGGGACCCGCACAAGCGGCGGAGCAUGCGGAUUAAUUCGAUGCAACGCGAAGAACCUUACCAAGGCUUGACAUAUACGAGAACGGGCCAGAAAUGGUCAACUCUUUGGACACUCGUAAACAGGUGGUGCAUGGUUGUCGUCAGCUCGUGUCGUGAGAUGUUGGGUUAAGUCCCGCAACGAGCGCAACCCUCGUUCUAUGUUGCCAGCACGUAAUGGUGGGAACUCAUGGGAUACUGCCGGGGUCAACUCGGAGGAAGGUGGGGAUGACGUCAAAUCAUCAUGCCCCUUAUGUCUUGGGCUUCACGCAUGCUACAAUGGCCGGUACAAAGGGCUGCAAUACCGCGAGGUGGAGCGAAUCCCAAAAAGCCGGUCCCAGUUCGGAUUGAGGUCUGCAACUCGACCUCAUGAAGUCGGAGUCGCUAGUAAUCGCAGAUCAGCAACGCUGCGGUGAAUACGUUCCCGGGUCU